rnacentral:rRNA from 1 species
AUUGAACGCUGGCGGCAGGCUUAACACAUGCAAGUCGAGCGGGGUGAUGGUGCUUGCACUAUCACUUAGCGGCGGACGGGUGAGUAAUGCUUAGGAAUCUGCCUAUUAGUGGGGGACAACAUCUCGAAAGGGAUGCUAAUACCGCAUACGUCCUACGGGAGAAAGCAGGGGAUCACUUGUGACCUUGCGCUAAUAGAUGAGCCUAAGUCGGAUUAGCUAGUUGGUGGGGUAAAGGCCUACCAAGGCGACGAUCUGUAGCGGGUCUGAGAGGAUGAUCCGCCACACUGGGACUGAGACACGGCCCAGACUCCUCCGGGAGGCAGCAGUGGGGAAUAUUGGACAAUGGGGGGAACCCUGAUCCAGCCAUGCCGCGUGUGUGAAGAAGGCCUUAUGGUUGUAAAGCACUUUAAGCGAGGAGGAGGCUACCGAGAUUAAUACUCUUGGAUAGUGGACGUUACUCGCAGAAUAAGCACCGGCUAACUCUGUGCCAGCCGCCGCAGUAA